GGCAGGGCUCCCUUAUCGGCAAUGUGGAGGAGUCUAAUCAGAUAAAAAAAGAUGGAGGAAGGCGAGCGAGAGCGCGUCGUCGUCGAGUCGCGCGUGGCAGGUGUCGCUGCCGCCCACUACAAUGUCCUAUCGGACCACCUCUGUUCGGCGCGCGCCAAAGCGCACGGCUGCUGCGGCAGCAACGCCGGCAGCCGGCGGCUUGCGCGACGGCGGCAGCAGCAGCUGACAUCUCGGCGGGAGGUUCACAUCGACCGCGGUGGGCACGUGACCGCCGGCGUCUGCACACCGGUGUGUAUGUGUGUGUGCCGGCAGCCGGGCCCACACGACGGCGGGCUCUCAGUUUCGGCCCGGAGUCCGGACGCGGCGGUUGGGCUCUUGGCGCGCAGCUUGGUUGGCACUCGGGACGCACGCUCCGUAGAUCGCGGACGCCUUUGCACGUGGCAGGAGCGAAAGACCGAGACCUUCCCGCCUGCAGCCGCCGUCUGCAUCAAGGUGGGUUUCGUUGUAUCCAAUUCUACACCCGAAGUGGGUUAAUUCGAAAGGCGUAAUUAGUACUGCGGCACAGUUUGAAAUAGAAGAGGUAAACGCAGAUGCGCAUUGCUCCGUGCGCCGAGAUUCAGAAGCUUAACUAGAGUGUAUACCCUGCAGCGCCUCUACAGAGGAAUCUGUCGUUCACCGUCCAUAAGCGAAGCAUCGUCUGGUCUGCGAGAUGAGAACAGACUAUUGUCAGCUUUAGCAGAGAUCGACGUUUUCUUUCUGAUGGGUGGACGCGCCCCGAUCGUUCAGAAUUCGGCUGCCAGCACUUCUCCCGCGCCGCAAUCGAAAGGCGGCGGACCAUUGGUUGAUUCUUCGUCUGCGGCUUCUAGUAGCUGGCCAUGUUUCUCUCUCACUCUCCUAUUCGGAGCGAACGGGAUUGCUGAAACAACGUAGCUAAUCGCAUACGCCCCGGAACAUCCAGAUAUUUCCUCAGUGUGUGCAAUACAUCGAGCAACGUGCGCGCGCUGCGGCUUCAGGCCAUAUCGAAGAUUAGCAUUGCAGCUCGGAAACUGCAGGCUCUCCUCAAGUAUAAAUGUAAGCACACUGCGUGAAAUUGCAGCUUUUUCCUCUAGUCCCGUUGUUCUUAAAUCAUAUCUAUAGUAUCAGAUCGUUGUCCAGGGAAUAAGCUGGAAACUUAUUUUUGUUUGGUAGUUCCACGAACGCCUAUAUACGUGAUUGAAUGUGCUCAGUAGCCGGUGGCCAUGAGUCAUAUGCCACGUUAGCAUGCUAAAGGCAACAGCAAUACUACAUCGCCUUCUCUCCCUUCAAACCAUCACCCACUUCCCUUCUCUAUUCUCAUCUCGCAAUCCUUCUGGAAAGGGCGCGCGCUGUGGCCGAAAGCAUUGCUCCAACUUUGAGCAACGCGUCGUAAGGGAGGUUAUAUCGCCGACAACAUUCUCACCCCCUUGCAACUGAGGUAUAGCCAUCGUCUUCGAAACACGAAAGGGGCAUCGAGGCAGCCCUAGCACACCAUGAAAUCUCAAACAAGCGCCCUCUCCCCUUGCGCCCGCAAACAUCUUUCGUUUGUUACGCAGCCGCAACAACCAUGUCGAAGUACAAAGGGCAAAGAGUUUCUGGACCUGCCUUGCUGCAAUGGCAUUCUGAAAUAACGGCAAAGUUUUUUUUUUUUUUAAUGCAGCAUUGUUAUAACAAUGGUAGGCGGCGCUUAUUCCGAUCGGGACCCGUUUGCUACAAAUUUUACAGCAAGUUGUGAUGGAUAAAAGGAGAAUAGGGAACUCCAACCCACGCCAGCUGCUGCGAUAUCAGGGCUUGGUGAUUUCCGAACUAAUAACAUCUUAACGCUUGUAAAACGAAAAUAAUUGAUAAGCCUAAUCCUUCUGGAAGUAAAAAAAAAAAAAAAGUUUGACGGCAAGUCCGCGCCGACUACAACUUCCUUUACGAAGGACACCGGCGAGGUAUAUAUGGCCCCUCGAUCGCCAGAAAGCCCAGUCACACACACGCAAACACGCGGAUAUCCGCAGACGUGACAAUAAGCUUGACCGACCGAUUUUCGCGGUGCGCGUCCGCCCGGCCCGUAUAAGUGUCUUCGCAAUGGCCAAAAUACAAGCAGGGGCCGCUCGCACUUCCUACAUAGCCAUGGGCGGGCGUCGUCGUCCUCAUCAUCAUCGAACCGCGGCCGGGCGAGUCCCCACACCGCGCCGUGCGUCGCGUGCCAGAGAGCGGGCCGCUGGCGUGAGCCCGCGGCGGGUCAUGGAAUAUUUAAUAGCCCCGAAUUUCGGGCCCCGAUAAAGGCGAAGAGGAGGAAGCGAGGAGGGGGCACACCCAAUCGUGGCGCGCUGCUAAACGCUGCCGUCGCCGCUGUGCUGCCUUCUUCUUCGUCAGCCGCGCGCGCCGGCUGGACUUGGGCGCGCUGACGUCAAAGAGUGCGCUCGCGCCUCCCACUCCAGGCGCUGUGCUCGGAACAAUGCCUUCGUCCGUGUACCGCAGCUGCGAAGGAAGCACGGUGACGACGACGUCGGCCAGACGCGACACAGCUCGCGGUGUUAUACGUGCGUAUAUACGCCGGUGUGCCUUGCUGGCCUCGCCGCCGACCAGUGGGCCCCGACUCCAUCCAUAUGUCGGAAGAGAGAGGAUGUCGGGCCAAAAGAGUGAGAUGAAGAGCAGCGCAAGGAAACGAGCGAUAAGAGAAGCAUCGAAGAGGACUUAUCACCGAAGGACGCGCAUGGCUUCGGCAGUCUCUACACCUUCGUCACGUUCUCGAGCACUCUCGCCCUUCAACUUCUCAGUCCGGCGACCGGGACAAUGGACACCAUGCGAGACAACGCACGCCCUGGGGCUGACUCGAGCUGCCCGUGCAAAACUGGAACCUUUGCGUUGUUUUGUUCGUUCGGCUCGAGUUAGGAACCGGCGUGGAAGCGCCGUUGGAAGAAGCUGGCACCCCUUCUUCUCACCGUCUCGCCCUGCCUGCCCUUUCCCGUCUCGGCGGGGGUGCUCCCCGAAGUGUUCAAUAAAGGUUUACUGCAAUUUUGCUAACUCCG